GAAAACUUGGACUCUUGAAUCAAAUGAAUUCCACUUCAUAUGCUUUUAUUUUGCAGAAACAUUUCAAGUUAACUUCUCAAGGAAAAUCCUUCUGAAAUGUAAAAUUACUGAAUUCCUCCUUGUUGAAUGUACAGCUGGUAUAAAAAUGGUGCUUUGUCGUCAUGAAGAAGGUGUAUUCUGGGAUCAAACCACCUGGCUGGAGAUGCUUACUAACCUCAGUUUCUUCAUCUGACCUUACCUUUCUAAAAGAAUAAGAAGAAGAUGAUACAUAUUCCUCUAAAGUCCCAACAGGAACCUUUUCCCCUCACUCCCUCCCCAGAGAUGUGUAUCAUUUCCAUGAGUGUCUGUACUUUUACAACAUGUGCAUAUUAAUAAACAAAAUAUGACAAAUUAUUUUGUCUUAAUAUUUGCAUAAAUCUAGCCAUACUCUACACCACUUUUGCAACUUUCACUAUUAUAUAUUUUGAAGAUUAUCCGUGUUUAUGCACAUAAGUUUAUCAUUUUAACUGUUGAAUAGUGUUUCAUUAUAUGAAUUAACCAUAAUUCAUCUAUUUCCCUGAGUGACAAUUAGGUUUCUUUUUGUUUUUAUGCUCUGAUGAACAAUCUUGCAAUUAUUAUCUUUGUAUAUGUCUUCAUGUAUAAGAAAUUCUCCAGGGUAGACACUUAGAAGU
rnacentral:lncRNA from 1 species